AUCAACCAAGUCCAUUCACACAGAGGAGAGGUCUCAUCAACCAAAUCCAUUCACACAGAGGACAGGUCUCAUCCACCAAGUCCAUUCACCCAGAGGAGAGGUCUCAUCCACCAAAUCCAUUCACCCAGAGGACAGGUCUCAUCAACCAAGUCCAUUCACACAGAGGAGAGGUCUCAUCAACCAAGUCCAUUCACCCAGAGGACAGGUCUCAUCAACCAAGUCCAUUCACACAGAGGAGAGGUCUCAUCAACCAAGUCCAUUCACCCAGAGGACAGGUCUCAUCUACCAAAUCCAUUCACCCAGAGGACAUGUCUCAUCCACCAAGUCCAUUCACCCAGAGGACAGGUCUCAUCCACCAAAUCUAUUCACCCAGAGGACAGGUCUCAUCCACCAAGUCCAUUCACCCAGAGGACAGGUCUCAUCUACCAAGUCCAAUCACCCAGAGGACAGGUCUCAUCCACCAAAUCCAUUCACCCAGAGGACAGGUCUCAUCCACCAAGUCCAUUCACCCAGAGGACAGGUCUCAUCCACCAAAUCCAUUCACCCAGAGGACAUGUCUCAUCCACCAAGUCCAUUCACCCAGAGGACAGGUCUCAUCCACCAAGUCCAUUCACCCAGAGGACAUGUCUCAUCCACAAAAUCCAUUCACCCAGAGGACAUGUCUCAUCCACCAAGUCCAUUCACCCAGAGGACAGGUCUCAUCCACCAAGUCCAUUCACCCAGAGGAGAGUUUGGUCAUCAGAGCUGAGAAGGGGGGUUCAUUUGAAAUGAUAAAUUCUUCUCAUUAUUUUGUGUUCCACACAUGAUCCAUCGCAGAGCGUCGCUGUUGAACACACUAGUGUUACUGUAAUCUACCUCCCUCAUCCCUAUGUAUGAAUCAUCCUUAUUAUUUUUUCUUCGAAUGUAAUUCUAUUUCCAAGACACAGAGAUAAAUUAGAGUCAAAUUAAAUAACGUAAGAGGGUUUCCCAGUAUGACAGUGAGGGAUCUAAUUGGCAGUUCAAAUGCAACUGUUCAUUGCAUUAGGGUAAUAAGGCUAUAACAGAAUUGAUCUGACUUUCUCUUAAGAAAACAGUCCCAUGUAAUCAGUUCAAUGCUUCGCAGUGAAUAUAAUUGGCAAAAAAAAUGUUGUCAAAUGAAAAUGUUCUCAGUGAAUAUAAUUUGGCACAUGGAUUUUGGGGCACGCUGCAGGAUACUGCUGGAUGGUUUCCA
ensembl:lncRNA